UCACAACCGAACGGGAGCCCGCAAGGGCUGAGAGGAAGCCACGACUUCGACCGUCAACUUGAUGCGGGUAAUGCCGCCGUAAGUAUGCGAUUGUUCGUUCCGU
rnacentral:ncRNA from 1 species